rnacentral:lncRNA from 1 species
GGUUAACAAGGAAGCGAGCGGCUCGGAGGAUAAGUUUGGACUGAGGCCAGACUCGGGUUCUGGGCCCGGACCGACCGAGUUGGAGAGGUCGGGGUUUUGCGGGUCCGGGUCGGGGGGUUCAGGAGGACGGUGGGGGAGGAGGUGGAGAGGGAGGAGGACGCCGUGGAAGAAAAGCUCGUCGGCGGAUAGGAGAUUGGGAGGAGGAAGAGAAGGGUUUCGGACUCUCCAGAACUCAAACUCGGGCGAGUUGGGGUCGGGACUGGCGGUUCUUCCUCCGGCGGUGCAUGGUGUGAGAGUAUGUGGUUGUGUCUUGUUGCGCAGAAAAUCCGGGGUUUCCAUGUUGUGCAG